rnacentral:rRNA from 1 species
GACGAACGCUGGCGGCGUGCUUAACACAUGCAAGUCGAACGGUGAAGCGCCUUCUUUUUUGGUGGGUGUGGAUGAGCGGCGAACGGGUGCGUAACACGUGAGUAACCUGCCCCCUUCUUCUUGAUAACAGCAUGAAAGUGACGCCAAUCCGGGAUAUUCUGGGUCUGUCGCAUCAUGGGUCUGGGCAAGAUAUUGUUUCGGUGGGUGAUGUGCUCGCGGCCUAGCAGGUUGGUGGUGGGGUGAUGGCCUACCGAGGCGGUGAGGGGUAGCCGGCCUGGGAGGGUGAGCGACCACGCUGGGGCGGAGACGCGGCCACGACUCCGACGGGAGGCAGCGGGGAGGAAUAGUGCACAGUGGACGGAAGGAUGAUGCAGCGACGCCGCGGGGGGGAUGGAGUCCUGCGGGUUGAGAACUUCAUGCGCGAGUGAAGCAGAGCUGCUUAGUUUGUGGGUGGGUUGACGGUAGCUGGAGAAGAAGCGCCGGCUAACUACGUG